AUGUCCCCAAGAGUUCUUCACGAUGACAAUGAGAUGUUCCUGAGGGUCCGCCAUGGUGUCCAUGGGAUGUCCUUGAGGAGCCUCCAGGGUGACAACGAUGUCCCCAAAGCCACCGUGGUGUCCAUGGGAUGUCCCCAAGGGUCCACCAGGGUGACAACGAGAUGUCCCCAAAGCCACCCUGGUGUCCGUGGGAUGUCCUUGAGGAGCCUCCAGGGUGACAGAGAUGUCCCCAAAGCCACCGUGGUGUCCAUGGGAUGUCCCCAAAGCCACCGUGGUGUCCAUGGGAUGUCCCCAAAAGUCACCGUGGUGUCCAUGGGAUGUCCCCAAAGCCACCAUGGUGUCCAUGGGAUGUCCCCAAAGCCACCCUGGUGUCCGUGGGAUGUCCCCAAAGCCACCGUGGUGUCCAUGGGAUGUCCCCAAAGCCACCGUGGUGUCCAUGGGAUGUCCCCAAAAGUCACCGUGGUGUCCAUGGGAUGUCC
rnacentral:lncRNA from 1 species